rnacentral:rRNA from 1 species
ACGGAGGGUGCAAGCGUUAUCCGGAUUUAUUGGGUUUAAAGGGUCCGUAGGCGGACCGAUAAGUCAGUGGUGAAAUCUCAUAGCUUAACUAUGAAACUGCCAUUGAUACUGUCGGUCUUGAGUAAAUUAGAGGUAGCUGGAAUAAGUAGUGUAGCGGUGAAAUGCAUAGAUAUUACUUAGAACACCAAUUGCGAAGGCAGGUUACCAUGAUUUAACUGACGCUGAGGGACGAAAGCGUGGGUAGCGAACAGG